rnacentral:lncRNA from 1 species
GGCGGUGCUCCACCGAUUGACUUAUCCAACACGGCUUCUGUCGCGGCAGCAACAGGACAGGUCUGGACUCGGCGACCAUCGUUCUCUCUCUACACUACCAAUCACGACCAAGCCUAUGUCUCCUUCUCGGUAAUGAAACGUCUAAAAUAAAAUAAACAGUUCAAUCAUUUUCUUGGGAAAGACUCUAAGUUCUUCUCAAGUUUAUAAAAUAUAGGAGAGAAAUGUUAGGAACAAAUCGUACAGUGAUGAUAACGAUGAGAAGCUCGUCGGAGCAGCCAAAGAAGCUAAGAAGAGGCUGGACGAGCGGCUGAGGAACCCGCGAAGAAGGGUCGGUUUGGUUAAACAAGCGUAUGCUAGCAAAUGAAGUACUAAUUCACCUUAAAAUGCGCCAAACCAGCUCAAGUCUUUUGCUUUGAUUCCAUGAUAACGACGCAUGAUGAUGUAUUAUUUAUCUUUCAACAUGUGGUGGUAUCACAUGAGCAUAUAAUUGUGAGAUUGCCUUUUGUCGGACAAUUAUUUUAUCCCUUUAGUAUUAACGCACUUUCUCUGCCAGGCGCAUUUUAGCAAGUCCUCUUUAUUGAAUGUUAAGUUGCGUCUUUUAGUUUAUAAUGGAAACUUCCCGGAAACCACUAGGUAUCUUCCAAGAUUGCCAAAUCUGAUGUUAGCUCGUCUCGAUUUUUGCUUUGAAUUUUCAAAGGCAGAAUGGCAAAGACAGAAGAGUGAAUAAACCCAGGCAAUGGGAAAGGUAAAACUAAUGUUUGGAAACUCACUAGGCGUUGUAAGCGCGUGCCAUACAUGGAUCUAUCAAUUUAUUAAAAACUAGGAUAGGUAGCGCGGAUGUACGUUACGUGUAAUAAAUAUAAUUAUAUAAUUGUAUAUUUUUUUUUUGUGUGUGUUAUAUAAACUUUUGCAAAAAAAGUGUAUAAUAAUGUUUAUAGUUUUUGAGAAGUUAUGGUAUAAAAAGAUUAUGUAUGCUAAUUAAGAUUAAUUAUGUUUGAUUUCGAUGUUUGUGUCUACGUUAAUUGAUUGCGGCAUAUAACAUACUAUAAUAGGUGGAUGAGGUAUAAGUGGUGCUCUCGUUGUAAGUUUUUUGAUAAUUUUAAAUCCAAAAUUGGUUGGUUAAUUAUGGUUUGCUAUAUUGGAUUAUUAAAAAUAGACUUAUGGUUCUCGUGAUUAUCAUUUGUAUGGAUGGAUUGGGGUCAUGAUUGCAUUUCAUUACGGUUUAUGUUAGGCUGAAUAUGAUAUUUAAAAACUGAGUAAAAUAGUGAAAGUGUAAAUCUAACUUUUUAUAUUAUACAUUAACACUUAAAUGUAUAGUUAUAGACUUUCGUUUCAAAUAUUUCAAUUCGUUUAAGGCCGUUGCAUAGGUGUAAAUGAAAUACAUUUGAUGCAUAAAUAAUCUACGUCUUUUUGAAGCUCCAUUAUAUUUGUUUACUAUUAUGUAAAUAGUUUAGUUUUAUUUUUAUUUUUCUAUUAGUUUCUUAAUUUUUAGCGAUUAAUUGAAUAUUUUGUAGUUUUUUUUGUAAAUAAAUAAUAUUAUUUUUGUUAAAUGUAGAUAAUUUAAUAUUUAAAAUAAGUUUAUAUUUUAUGGAACCAAAAAAUACUCAACUCCGCUUAUUUUUAAUUUGGGAUAAUGAAUUUAUUUAUAUAUUCUAAUAGUUAAUUUUAUUUAUUUUUAAAAUUUUUAAUAAUCUUUAUAAAUUUAGUUUCUUUAUGAUAAUAUGAUGUUACGAUAGUAUUUAGAAUGCUUUUACUUAACUGUUUAUUUUAAUAUUUAUUUUAAUCUUCUAUAUACACACAUUAACUGUAUUUCAUAUAUGCACCAAGAGUAAUCUCCCACUCAAAUUUAUGGAUUAUUUUAUUUCUGUUAUGUUUCAAACUCGAGAGGCUGAAAUACGAUUUACAUGCAUGAAUAUUAAUAUUCUAAAUGAUUUUUAUUUGUUCUCUUAAUUUAUGUUUUGCACGUAUAUAUAUAUUGAGGGAGUUUUUUUUUUUAACACCGAGAGAGAGGGAGUUAAGAGAUAGGUUUAGUCUCUUGAGACUUUUAAACCUAGACUGAAUCUUAAAUCUAUAUAAUGUGAUAUGAUAUGAUAAGUAUUGGGGAUUGAAUCAAAGAAUAUCAUGUGUCAGCAUCUUAACUUGAUCCUUGUUUAUAAAUUAAUUAUUUCUUAAUUUCAUCGAACCUCGAGGCUUUUGAUUUAGACCAGUGUACGAAAUUUACUUGCAAGGUUGAAGAUGAUACAAAAACAAAGUGUAUCCAGUUUUAACUCAUUUGUUACAUCAGUGUAUACAUUAUAAUGAUUUCUCAGAAAAGGUAGCUGUUUCAUUUAUUGCAUAUGGGUCACCAACAAAUACGGUCAUGUUUCUCCGAUUAGUCUAGCAAGCCAAUCUCCUUUCUAGAUCAUCUGUUUCAGUAGUCUGCAAGAAGAGUUAAACAUACUGUUCAAAAAAAAGAAGAAGAGCUGAAACAUCAAAUAAUGAAUUAUCUUAGUAAAACAUGAAUUAUCUAUUCCAAAUACUUUUUUACAGAUCAAAAUAAGUAAUUUGAACUGAGAUUGUCAAUGCUGAAAGCUCGUUCUAAUUUCCUAAAGAUCUUUUGCUACACCUUUUAGCUAUCAUAUAAAAAAGAUCUAAUUUCUUCAUAGAAGUAAAAUUUUCAGAGGUAAGUACACAUACCAUGUGUAGCCACAACCAUUUCUAACUUGCAGGUGCGGGGAGCAUCUACACAUGAUAUGGUUUUCAAUUGAAUCAAAACAGAGUUGGAAUAAGUAAGGAAACUACGACACUGUCAGAUUCACUGCUCAAUUUUUAUAAUGAAAUAACCUGGGAGAACUAAGCUAGAACCCUAUUAUGGACCAGAUUGUCAGAUCCUAGCACAUGUGGAUAUAAAAGACCACAUUUUGAAGAAUCCUAUAGAUUAUAGAAGCGGUGAUAGAACCAGUUACGACAAUAUAGAUGAAAAUCAGUUUACCAUCACGAUCCCAAAUUCCAUUACAACCUUGACCACAAAGCAAUUCACAACAUGCUAAGAGAUCAACGACAAAUAAAGAAACAUUCUGCUACGAAAACGUAAGAAACCAUUUUAAUAUUUACAGGCGAACCUUUUCAUCAAGCAGCGACAUGUUAGGCCACAUGAGCUCCUCUCCUUUUUCACACUCCCUGCCUCCCAAAACCAAACUAACCGGGUAAAAUUGCCUCCCUAAAAAUGACCAGGCUUCAAUUGCUCUGCAUCCCUAUUUAUAGUAUUAGAAAUUGGGAUUAGCAGAGGAGUUGUGUGAGGCAAAUUAAUGAAUACGUAGUGGGGAUCCAUGAUGGAAGGAUGGUGUUAAAUAACAGAGAAACCGCUUCGAAUGGGAGAUUUGCGAGCAAGGGUAGAUGAGAAGACAGUGAAGGCCAGAGGUUAAUAGUAAUGAAUCCGUUCAGUAGAAAGGAGACGAAUGAAUUGAUGGAAACCCUAUAAUCUCCUAAGGCGGUCGGCGGAGAAAGGAGAUCGAUGAAACGACAAAAUAAGAAACGCCGCGUUUCGUACGCAUCAUAUUACGCUUAUAGUGGUAUGGGCUCAAUAAAGCUAAAGCUCAGACAAAAUAAGAAGCCAGGCCCAUCAGAUUUCGAGAAAGAAAUAAAUGAAACGUAGCGUUUUAUAAGGUGGACAGGUGUUGUGCUCACAAGAGCUGAUUUUCUGACCUAGAAUCCUAUGUGGCAGCUUCAGAAGUGAGUAAAACACUCAUUUAUAUAUAUAGAUAGAUAGAUAGAUAGAUAGAUACAUGAAGAUUUGGAAAGUACAGUAGAAUCUCAAUAAAUUAAUAAUGUUAGAACUUUGAAAUUUUAUUAAUUUAUAGAGAUAUUAAUUUACAAAAAUUUCUUUAUUUAGAUUUCUUAUUUUAAGAUAUAUUUAUUCGAAAAUAAAAAAUAUGAUUUUAGUGUAUAGAAAUUAAUUUUAUUUUUAAAUUUGACAUUUAUAUUACUUUUAUUAUAUUAUUUGGUGUAUAUAAUACAUAUUGCAUAGAACUUAAAUGUGAUUUUAGAUAUAAUAUUACUAAAUCUCAUCAAAAUAUAUUAAGUGUUAAAGAAAUAUAAAGAUAAUUCCAUUGUGGAUAUAAAACAAACAAUAUAAUAAUAGGUUCUUACUUAUAUGAAAUAUGUAUACAUAUAAAUUAUUAAUUUAUAAUAAUAAUGGGACCAUAUAUUUACUUAGAAUUUUCUAAAAAAUUAUUAUCUUAUUAUUUUAUCGAUUUAUGUCAAAUUUUGAACCGGUUCAAGUUGGAAACGACGAAAUUUAUUAAUUUAUAGAGAUUAUUAAUUUAUCAAGUAUUAAUUUAUAGAGGUUCUACUGUACGCUGAAAUUUUUUUUUGUACUCUUUUAUAUAUAUAAUAUGGUAUUGGUUUCAAAUUUUAUACGUCCGCUAUAUAUUAAUCAUAGAGCAUUACAACAUGUUUUAUCAGUCACAUAUUAUCACUAAGAUGAUUUUUAGAAUCCUUAGAAAAAAAAGUUGGUCCAUUCAAAUAUAUAUUAUACUUUUUAUUAAAAUAACUAUCAAAUUGAUUAGUAGUGUAAAAAAACUAUUUUUUUAUUUUUUCCUUAAAUUAAAGCUACGGAAUUACCUAAUAUGGUUAACAUAUAUGAGACAAUUAAUAAUUAUGAAUAAUACAUAUUUGAUUAGGAGUGGACAGAAAACCCGGACCGAACCAAACCAAUUCAAACCCAAAACGAUCCAAACCAAACCAAACUAUAUGUCUAAACCUUUUUGUUCAAGAUUUUAUCAAUCCAAAUGUUUCGGUUUGGUUUGGUUUAAAACCAAACCAAACCGAAGUGUUUUAAUCAGAUUAACUAAAUAUACUAAUAAUAUUAAAAUUUAAUAUAUUUAACCAUUAAGCAUAGACAUCUAAACAUAAUUUUAUACAUUUUACUUCUAAAUAAAUAAAAUUAACACAACAAAAAAUAUGAAUAUGAAUCUCAUACAGUUUUAUUUUAGCAUUUGGUUUACGAUUAAAUAUGAAAAAAGUGUUAAAUGAUGAUUUGUUUAUGUUUUUAUAAAUUAUAUUUUGUAAUAAAACUAAAAAAUUAAAUCAGUUGAACUGAAAAAAUACAAACGAAACCAAACACAAACCAAACCGAACACAACCAAAAUAAACUAAAACCGAACCAAACCGAACAUAAACCAAACCAUAGUAAUUUGGGUUGGCAUUGGUUAAAGCGUUUUUAGACCCAAAUAAACCAAACCGUAUCGAACCCAUAAAUAAUCUGAAAUGCCCACCCCUAUAUUUGAUAACAAUUUUUGUAUCCUCUUUUUUUUCUUUAAAAACAUUUAGAUUAUUAAAAUAAAUUUAACAAUCACAUUAAUCAUAUAUUAAAAGUUGUAGAUUUUUUCUUAUAUGUUAUAUUUUGAUUUUUUUUUAAAACGACUAUAAAUUAUUAAAAAUGGUAAAAGUCCCACGUUGAAAAUUUUGUGAUUAAUAGUUUAACUUUUUUUUUUCAAGCAAGAUACAAAUGAUCAUAAAUCAUAUGAAUAUGAAGUCUCAUAAAUAGAUAUUAUUAGUAUAUAUAUAUAUAUAUAUAUAUAUAUAUAUUAAUAAAAUUCAAAUUAAAUUAUAUACUUUUUUUUGUCAUCAACUUAUACAUACUCAUACUGACUCUGUGAACCAAACCGGGAGAUCUGCAUCCGUGUGAAUGACGAAAGACGAUUGCUUCCUGACACUGCGUGCUAGGCUAUACUAUAUAAAAAUAUAAAAAUAUGUUAAUAUCAAAAUUUGCGUUGAAAAAUUAUUGAGAGCUUAAUAUUUUAAUUUUAAAAUUUGAAUUGAUAAAUCUCACAUUAAAAGUCUUGUGAUUAACGGUUUAAAUUUUUGUUACAUCAAAUAUAUAAAUGUUAAUAAAAUCAUAUGAGUAGGAAGUGUCAAUAAUAAAUAUUUAUAUUAAAAUAUACUAUAUAUAUAUGUCAAUAUCACUAAAAUUUAAUUAUGUACCAUAUAAAGUAAAUAAAAUAAUUGUUUUGAUUUAUCUACCAAAAAUCUGAUUAUAAAUAAACAAAAGGUAUUGGUUUUAAUUUAUUUGCUUACUCUAAUGUAUAUUGUUUUAUGUAUACAAAUUAUUUUUAAAUAGGUGGUUUUUAAUAUGUUAGUUGAUCCUCACAAUCCCUCAAAUAAACUUCUUCAAUCGAAGCGAUUUUAUAUUGAAAGCAAUAUAUAUAUAUAUACAUUAUUUUAUUCAAAUUAAAUACUUUAGUCUUGAUUUUUAUUUCUACAUCAUGAAAAGAUUCCAAUCACCUCAUUUUAAGUUUGUCGAAGAAUGAGACGUUUGAUCAUUUUUCUGAUAUUUGUUUCUCCCUUAUACACUAACUAGCUAUUAUAAUUGUAAGAAUGAGAUAUGUGAACUAUUUAUUAUAAGUUUUCUGAUUUAUCAUCUAAUAAAUAAAAAAGUUCUUAUAUUUCGAGUAUGCACUUAUAUUAUAUAAAAACUUGAUAUAUUAGAUUUGAACACUAACAUGUGAAUACAUUUUGCUAGUGAUUUUGUUCAAAAAUUUGAUUCUUAGAUAUGUAUUUAGAUUGGAACUGAUUUUUACAGAUGUCCAAUUUUUAAAUUGACACUUAUGUAAUCACCGGAUUCACAGAAGAAGUUAAAAAAAAAAGAAACUAAAUUCUUAUCAGUGAAACAGAAACGAGAACGAAAGCACAAUUUUCUAGAAGUAGAAAAUGAAAUCAAUUAUGGAGAGUCAAUAGUAAACAAAUUGAGAGCAGAAAAACUAAUCCUCUUUCGUCAUUUUAGAGUAGAUGUUGUCUUUCUGGUUUUUGUUUGUGUCAGCCGUAAAACUUAAUUUUAUUUUGUGCAUAUGAAGUCUUAAAAAUAAUUUAAAUGAGAUGUAAUACGCUAACUCUCAACGAUGAUACAUUUAAUAGACCAACAUUAGUAUUCGUCAUUUUACAGUUGAUAAAGAUUUGUUGCAAAAUGUUAAAACCAUUUAACGGACAAACGUUAGUACAAAAAACUUACCCGCGCAUGAACGCGGAUUAUCUUCUUGUAUAAUACUAAAAGUUAGAUACAUCAUUGAUAUUAAAAUUCAUAGAUUUAUAUAUAUAUAUAUAUAUAUAUAUAUAUAUAUAUAUAUAUAUAUAUAUAUAUAUAUAUAUAUAUAUAUAUAUAUAUAUAUAUAUAUAUAUAUAUAUAUAUAUAUAUAUAUAUAUAUAUAUAUAUAUAUAUAUAUAUAUACUAAUUAGGUCACAAAAUAUAAGUUGUACUUUUAGUUCACAUAUAAAAUAUAGUCUACUUAGGGACGCAAAAAAUAUAGGACAAAAAUAUAUCGUUUUGAUCUUGAGAACAACCCAAAGAAAUUUAGGAUUACACUUUCAAUCCUCUAUUCUUCAAUAAUCUGGGAACUUGGGUGGCAAGCACAAAACCAAUGCAAUUCUCCAUCUCUUCCUCAUGCUCCACAAGCCCAACGACCAUCAUCUUCAAAUCUAACAUAUUACAAUCAUGUUAAUGUUUUUUAAAUAGUCUAUUUUGAUCAUACACAUAAAAAUAAUAACAAAUAAAAUACAAAUAAUAUUCAUGUGUUAUUUUAUACAUAUAUUAAUUUUAUAAUAAUCAAAUGCAAAUCUAAUAAUACAAUGUAUAUAUAUUAUCAUUUAUAACAAAAAUUAAAUUACUCUAUGUAAGAUUUUAAUUUCUGCCUUCAAAAUUCAUAUAAACAUUUAAAUAUAUGGAAAGUAUUAAAAUAUUAAAAAUUAAACAUUUUAAAUAAUAUCAAUAUAUAAAGUGAAAACAAACAUCUGCAUAUGUGCGAAGGCCAAGCUCUAGUACAUUGUUAAAAGGAAACAAAUCUUUCAUAUACUAGUACAUUUUUUAAAAUUAAAUAAAUAAUAAUUAAAUAAAGUAAUUCUUUGGUCAAAUAGAAUAAAAUCUUUGAAAAUGAAAAAAUAAAUCUGUUAUUAUUUAGUGUAUAUAUGGUCAACGAAAAAUUAAAUUCGUGAUAAACUAGUCAAAUAUAAAUAUGUUAAAAAAGUUGUUGUUGAAAAUAAUUUUUAUUUCAUAUCACAUAAUUAAUAGUUUAAUUGGUCAGAGCACUGCCCCGUCAAUAUUCCAUAUUUACAUAUUAUUAUCAUAAUUAGAGUCAAUUUUCCAAAAAUAUAAUAAUAACUCUUAUUAUUAAAUUUAUUAUAAUUGUCAACUCAUCAUCCUAUAAAUCUCUCUUUUAGUGUCUCCCAAAAUUUAGAGUCUUACAAUAUACAAUAAACAAGUAACUAAAUCUAGAAAUAAUUAUGGCUAAAGCAAAAUUUUCAGUUGUUUUCCCCAUCAUCUUCCUUAUAAUGUUUGCUUUAGGUAUGCGUCUAUCUUAACUUUUCCUCAAAAAGUGUAUUCAGUUACAAUUUUAAUCUAGUACCAGUCUUGUUUGUUAGAACAUGUCUUGAAUAUUGUGAUGAUAGUUUUUUGAAAUACAUAAUCCCUAAAAAUAUAUAUAUAUAUAUACAUAAUUUUUGAUAGUUUACUCAUAGCAAUAUUCAAAGAUUCUUUUUUUUUGUUAAGAAAUAGCAAUAUUCAAAGAUGCUCGCCUUAUUUAACUUAGUUUUCUGGUUUUGCCUUUAUUCAUUGGUAUAUAUAUAUAUUGUAUUUUAUUGUGUUGAUAUCUCCUAAAUCUUAGUUUUUCAUUAUUUAAACAUAAAAUGUUGUUUUAUCUAUUGUAGCUGAGGAUUGUAUGGGAUGUCAGGCGAUGCUUGGUGAUUGCCGUAGAUGCGGAAUAAAAUGCAGUUCUUACGGAAGACAUGCAGAGGCUCACUGUGAUUACCGCUAUGAUGGUGGCGCUUGUAUUUGCGACUUUCCUUGUAAUCCUCCACCAAACCUUUAAAAUGGAAAAUUAUUGGUAAUUAAUAUGAAGAAAUAAUAUGUUGAAUCUCAUAAUCAUAGUUGCUGCAAUAUUUCAUAUUUUAAAUAAUAAUUCUGUGAACCUUUGAUAUCAAUAAAAUUUAUAGAACACAAAACUAGUUGCAUUUAGAUUUUUAAAUUAAAAUUAGAGCUAAACAUAAAUAGGAUUUAAAGUUUGAUGCAAACUGAUGAAAUCAAAUUAAACCGAUAAAAAACUGUACUCCAACAACUAGAGUUGGACAUUCAAAAAAUCUUUGGGGGUUUAUUUAGAUUAUUUAUACACCAACCAGAGAUAACCAAAUAUCUCCUGCACAUUAUUUUUGAGAAGUGAUUUGACAUCUAAUCUAUUAAUUUAGGGUUCUUUUUUAAUCUAUCAUUAACAAAUCAUAGUAUGCCCACUUAAAAAAUUAGUUAAUAUGAUAUAUUUGAUUAUUUACAUUAAUAAUAAAACAACUAUAAAUUUGAUUUUUUAAUUAUAAAUAUUUUUAUAAAAUAACAUAUUAAUUAAUUUAGUAAUUAGUAAUAUAAUAUUGUUGUAGAUCAAUUUUAACUAAAAUUUUAAUAUAAAACAAGAAAAUUAAAAUUAUCUACUAUUUUUCAUAAAUUAUAUAAUUAUAUUCUGUAUUAUAUAAAAAGAGAAGUGCUAUAGGAAUUAAAUAUGAUAAAAUUAUAUUUUAACAAAUUUUAGUUUUUUUUAAAAAAUUAUUUCACUUAAAUAAAUUAUCACUCAUCAUUAAAAUGAGUUAAAACUUGUAAACUAUAUAAUAUUUUAUAUCAAAAUAAAUUUAUUAAUAUAGGUUAAACUUUUAUAUCUACAACUAUAUAUAUUAUAUAGUUUGUUUUCAAACCUUUGACUAAAAAAAAUAUUUGAAGUGGGAGGUGUAUAACUUUGCGCGGGGCUCUCUUUGUAAUUGAUUUUUGGAGGUUGUAGUAGAUCAAAGUGUGACAAUUCUUUUUGGUUAUUCAUGGUCUUCUUGGUUUUCCAGAUUGACAUAUGCAAUGAUGGAAAUGUAAUAUUUCUUCUUGUAUUAGUGUAGUAUUUUCUUAUAACCAACCGUUGCUAGUUUCUUGAGUUUUUCGUUAUAUUUUAGUUUACUAUAUUCAUUUUCUUUUCUCCUAGAAAGUUAGAAACAUAGUUUUUCGUUACAUCUGAUUAUCUUACCAAUAUAUAUAACUAAAUACAUAUAACUAUUAACCUGUUGGCAUGAGCGGGGUUCGUGUGCUUUGCAUGUUUCAAUGAAAUUAAUUUUCAAGAAUCUCAAUAGAACUGCUCUCAUCUCUAUGAUGUUGAGUCCAGCCUUCAUUGGAGAAAGACAUGGACUCGAUGAAUCCUAUAGUAACUGUUCCUAGAAGUAACACCAUAAAUGGCUACAAUAAGGUUAUCCAAGCUUUAUCACUUUAUCCCGCUGUUCACUAGCACAUAACUCUUCGCAUUUUACUUGAUUAGUUGAUAUAGGUCAACUUGAACUUGUGUUUUCGAAUAACUGUACUCCACGUCUGGGGUGAAAGAUAGCUUAGUUCCGACAGCAAUGACAUGGACCGGGUCCUUCCUAUUCUUUCUUUCCCUGAGACCAUCAUUAACCCCAGUUUCUUAACUGAGAUUCUUAGCUUCGGCUAAGAGACGGUUCUUAACCAAGGUUAAUGAUGCCCUAAUUUUAAUUAUAUGCAAACUUCUCCUUAAAAUAAUACAAGACAUUCUCUUUGUUUUUACUUUUUUCACAUUUUCUUAAAGACUAACAAUCAACAGGCCGUUUUCAUUUUUUCACAUUUUCUUAAGGACUUACAAUCAACACGUCUUUAUACGAAGAAUUAUUCUAUAUAGCUUAAAGUGCAGCAAAAAAACGGACGGAUUUCAACAAACCAAAUUUUGGUAGGCAAUUAGGACUUAGAUAACGUUAUUUGGAGUGAAAAAUUGUAAAAAUAACUACCUUUUGUGCUUAGAAUUUUGGAGUCAUGCUGCUUGAAAAAUAGAAGCUUAGGUGAUCUCUGUGAUUUGUGAUGAUUCUUAGCAUAUAGACAGUCCAUUCUUUCCUAAAAUCAGAACGACACUUUGCCCUUUCUUCUUGUGUUCUUCAAGCCAUUUUAGAUCACCAAUGAGGCGAUAUGACAAUUCUUCUCAGAAAAUCCAUAACGUCAAGCCCACGAUAGCCGCACAACCGCUCAACGCAUCUUACGUUCAGCAAGUAUAUAAACUUAUUUACCCCUAUUUUCAAAGAUCGAAACCUGAAUCCACAUAAACGUUGGUUUUCUUGGUUUACAUCAUAAACUGAAUACCAAACUAAAUUAAUAACCCAAAGCCAAAGAGAACCAAAUCCAAAUAAAACCUUACCAAACCAAAAUUCAAUUCAUAAAUGACCCAAUUUCAUUUUCUUCUUCUCAUCAUCGCCAUUUUUUAACAACAAGCUUUAUUAGAUGAAAUUGUAUACAUGAAAAGAAUUAAGCAAACAUGAGGAAGAUUAAAAAAAAUCAGAAAUUUGAAUGUUGCAGAGCCUUUUUCGCAAGAGCAUCAUCUCGUACGGCUAUACCUCUGCUGCGAGGAGGUGGGAAUGCUAUGCAUCAUCUCGUACGGCUAAUCCGAAGUUCUCUUAGAGAUUGAAUGAUGUUGGUAGAGUAGAUAUGUUGUUGCUUCUCUGAUCUCCAUAACUGAACCGACGAUUGAGAAGGUGGUGGUGACGGCUGUUUCUUCUUCCGUUUACGUCGCGAUUGAUUAUAACCAGUGUUCGUCGGAAAAAUGGACUCCAUGUCAAAUCCUCUGUUUCACCCAACUAAGACGUUUCUGAAGACAGAUUUAAUUAAGGACUGGAGUUAACAUAUUAGUUUUUUGUUUUCUUAUUGAUAUGGUCGGGUGAAGAAGACGAGGUUGAAGAAGAUGGAGAUCGGGUAGAGUUACGGAAGACACAGUUAAUUAUGGUUUGGUAUUUUUGAGAUUUAAUAUGAUUUAAUUGAUUUAAUCAAUUUUAAACUAGGUUUAACAGUUGGUUAACUUGUCUAAUACUAAUUGGUUAAAACAAACCAGGUUAAAACUAAAAAUUGAGAAAUAGUAAACCAAUCUACACCAGCUCAAUGUCGGUUUCAGUUAUCUACACCAGCUCAAUGUCGGUUUUAGUUCUCAUCUAAAGCAUUACGUGGAUUUUGAUUUCCAUCUUUGAAAAUAGGGGUAAAUAGGUUCAUGUACUUAAAAUGUGUGUAAUUAGGACGAGCAUGAAAGAUUGUGUGAAUUUGUUACUAUACGAUACUUUUUUUUUUUUUUUUUUUAACCUAAGGGUAUCCCGGGCCUAUGGAAGGGUCCAGACUAAUCCCCAAGGGGAGGUGCAACCCACGGAUAGACCCUCUUUCCGGGUAUGCAAAUGGGUCCUAAAGCAUGGACCCAUAUCCGUGUGGGGUGUCCAGAGACAUCAUGAGGUAGUUCCCUCCGGCGGGGUUUGAACUCGCAAUCUGGGUGCAGGAAGGAGCCCGUCCUUACCAUUGGGCCAUGAUGUUCUGGACACUAUAUGAUACUUCUGGUGGAUAAAUAGAUCGUUUACCCUACAAACACACUAAUAUAUUAUUUUGGAAGUCCAUCCAAAAGUUGCCAAAUGCCUUCCAAUAUUUAGUAUAUAUAAUUAAUGUUUAAGUAAAUUUAUGUGUCCGACAAUAACAAACGAUUCUCCUCAGCCUAAUCGCUAAACCACUACUCUUACUAAACUUGAAUCGUCCCCCCCCCCUCCCCCCCGCGUUCGUUUUUCCCCGGAAUCGGAACUUUUUUGGGUUUUAAAUUGAAUAGAAAUUUGAUGGUUAUAUAUUUUUUAAAUGCUUCCCUAACAGAUAUAACAUUUCGGUCCAGCGGCUGCACACAACUAUUCCAUGUCCCAUAGUUCCUCGGUUCAAUUCCUCGGUCUUGUAAAAUAUUUUAAUUUUUGUUCCUUCUUAAAAUUAUAUAACUUUUUUGAAAGUUACCAACGUGUAGAUCAAAUCUUUAAUUUUUCAUCUUAUUUCAUCUUUUGUUAUUGAGAAACACACUAAUAUCUUUAUAUCCUUAUUUUAGGUAAUAACUUAUGCAAAAAACACUCAUUUUAUUUUUUUGGAAACUCACCCUAAAAAUGACGCAAGCUUUCCUAGAUAUCAUAUGUGUUUUAUAAUGAUACCACAUUUAACAUUUUGUUGAUAAAAUUACUGAAAAUUCUUCAAGACAUCCUGAAACUUCUUCAAUAACUACCUGAAUGAAACAAAUGUUUUCAUAAUUCAUUACAACUUCUUAGGAACAUUCCAUACUUGCCCAAGUCAACACUAAUAGCACACGAAGUUUAAGAACAUAGUCUGAGCUAAACAGAAAAUGAGUGUGACAUGUUCACUUUCUCUGACCUUCCUUGAAAUCUUUUCUUCUGCUUGAUUCGGUUUGGAUGACGUCUCAUUCGAUGGCUUUGUGUCAGUCUGCAAAAAUCAGGAAGGCUAUCAUGAUUAUAUACAAAAAAUUCCAAAAUUACUUGAAAACUUCAAAAAUAAAACAAGAAUGAGCAUAUACGUGUUGUGUCACAUUAGGUGAGAAAUAUUGAGUCCUAGUAUGUGUCUCAGCCUAUAAGGCAAAAAAAAACUGUAAGAGAUUUUUUUUCAGAAUAAAUCUUACCUUAUCGUCAAGUUUUUCAUUGGAUGACAUCUCACUCGAUGGCUCUAUUUCAUUCUGCAAAAAUCAUAAAGGCUAUCAUGAUUAUGUAUAAAAUCUUCCAAAACUGCUUGAAAACUCCAAGUGUAAAAUAAGAUUUGAGCAUAUACGUGUUGUGUCACAUUAGGGGGAAAAACAUGAGUCCCAGUCUGUGGAGACAAUGGAUAGGCAGGUGUCUCAUUCGAUGGCUCUGUCUCAUUCUGCAAAAAUCAUAAAGGCUAUCUUGAUUAUGUACAAAAGCUUCCAAAACUUUUUGUUCCGAUGAAAUCAAUGUUCUGAGUUGAAUACAUUGUAUUGACUUUUUGUUUCUGUGUUCAGAUAGUACCAGAGAGGUGCAGAUAUAAAAUUUCAAGCAUUAUCGACUACUUCUAUACACAACUCAGCUUAAGAUAUUAUGAUCUAACAAAUGCUAACCAAUUUUAUGUGUAUUCUUGACAAGAAAAAGCUAUAACUUUUAGAGGAACAAGAGAACUAAAACAUCGACACAUACAAGUUUGAAACAAUAUCAUAUCACCCAAUCUACCUGUAUGACACAAUCAGAGUAAAAAAAAUUGAAUCUCAGACAAAUAAAGCAUUUGUCAAAGAAGAACUAGGAACAUCAAAGAUUCAAAAUGGCUUACCAAAAAGCAAGGUAACGAAUUCGUCUUCUUCCGUAAGCCAUGUUCUGUAAAUAAAGCUUCAUGAGAUUCCUUCAUUGUAUUCUGAUUAUGUUCUCUCUGAUCGAUUUGAACAACAAAAUAAGCUCAAAUAUAUUAUCUGAAGAACAACAAAUCGAAACCCCCAAAUUUCAAUUCGAAAACCCUAAGUUUUCGAAUUGAAAUUGAAAAUUUUCUUUGUAAACCAUUGUCAAUAAAGAUUAAAACAUAUCGAUACACAACUCGUUUCUUCGACAUGGAUAAUCACUGCUUCGUUCCUCGCCGGACUUCAACAACUCGUCGCCAGAGAUUACUUCACGAUAUUUUUUUUGGUCGAGAUAAUAUUAUAGUUGAAAAAUGGCAUUAUAGUCUUUAUCUCUAUAAACAAAGGUUAUUAAUCUGAUUUUCAGUUUGAUAGACUACUUUUGAGACAAAUAUUAAAUAAAGUUAUAUUAUUUUUUUAUUCAUUUUAUUUGAUAAUUUACUGUUACGCUCUUAUUUUUAUAAAAUCACCCCGACUCCAUUUUGGUUUUAUUUUAAAAACAAUUUCGAGUUUCUUAUAAUAUAUUUUUGAUUAAAGCAAAAUUAUAAAGAGAAAUCGUAAUGUUAUAUAAAAAUAUUCUAUAUAUUAUUUUUUGAUCAAAAAUAUUCUAUAUAUUUAAAACUACCUUUUUUGUAUAUACUUAAUUUAACGCAUCAUAUCAUUAUCGAGUAUGUAACCUAUACUGCCGUCCUCAAUUAUUUGUGAUAAAUAUCUGUAGCUACAAGACAAGAAGAAAAGCUAUGGCUGGUAUGCUUCCCGGAGUUGAGUGCGCAAGGAGACGGCGCUUCCACGGCGGUGCUCCACCGAUUGACUUAUCCAACACGGCUUCAGUCGCGGUAGAACCAGGACGGGUCUGGACUCGGCGACCAUCGUUCUCGCUCUACACUACCAAUCAUGACCAAGCCUAUGUCUCCUUCUCGGUAAUGAAACGUCUAAAAUAAAAUAAACAGUUCAAGCAUUUUCUUGGGAAAGACUAACUUCUUUUCAAGUUUAUAAAAUAUAGGAGGGAAAUGUUAGGAACAAAUCGUACGGUGAUAAUAACGAUGAGAAGCUCGUCGUAGCAGCCAAAGAGGCUAAGGAGAGGAUGGACUAUUGAGAAGAAGAAGAAACAUGGAUUUCAUCUGCAGAAACCCAUCCACAUAAAUCCAUCUGCAGAAACUCAUCCAUAGGAAUUCAUCCACAAAAACCCAUCUGCAGAAAUCCAUUCACAUGAACUUAUCCAACACGACUUUGGAGGAAAAAAAACCAUUUGAAUUUUGAAUUAAAAGAACUGUUGGAGACUUGUCACAUCAGACUCAAUUGUUAGAUUAUUUUUCUGUAAAAUCUCUCUAUAUGUACUUAGCUGUAGACACAAGAGAAGUUUAAGGGAAUAAAAUUAUCCUUCUUUAUUCUCUCUCUCUUUACUUUCUGAUUAAGCUCCUCUCUCUCUCUCUUGUUCUUCACUUUGUUCUUCAAUUUCUUACAUGGUAUCAGAGCUUCCAAGCUCUUGAACACCAAAUUGCUUCCGCAAAUCUAUUAUAUUCACCUUACUCUUUCACUUGUUUGGUUUACUUUAUUCAGAAUCUCUUUCACUUUCUUUUACCCAGUGGGUAACAUAAACUGUUCUUGACAAAAAAAAAAUCUCAUAAACUAGAAGUGCUCACUCUGUUCUGUCCAUCUUGCUUCAUUUGUAGAGAACAUAUCUUGGUUGUCCUUGUUUCUCUCCUGUCUAGCCUCAGAAAUUCAAAUUUCUUCUCAGCGCUUCCUUUUAUCCGCUGGACAAUAGCAAACAAAGAUGGAGCAGCACAAGCCAGUGAUGAUUCCAGUCACCCUGAAGGGUCCUAACUACAUUACCUGGUCGAGAUUGACCAGGACAACUCUUUGGGGAAGAGGUCUAUGGGAGCACAUCACCACCAGUGAAGCCCCAAGACAAAUCACCCAAGGAGAAGAUGGCAAGGAGGUUGUAGUGGUAGAUGAAUGCAAAUGGGGUCAGGAGGAUCUCAUGGUGCUGUCUAUCUUGCAAGGCUCACUUGAUACUCCUAUCAUGGAGUCUUACUCACACUGUGAGACUGCAAAGAAGCUAUAGGAUACCUUACACAAGGUAUAUGGCAACACUUCAAACCUCACCAGAAUUUUUGAGGUUAAAAGGGCAAUCAGCAACUUGCAGCAAGAGGAGAUGGACUUCACCAAGCACCUUGGGAAGUACAGCCAGCUGUGGUCUGAACUUGAGAUGUUGAGGCCAAGUACCACUGAUCCUAGUACACUAGAAGAGAGGCGUGAGCAAGACAAGGUCUUUGGAUUGCUUCUCACACUCAACCCAAGCUUCAAUGAUGUACUUAAACACAUAUUGAGAGCUAAAGAGUUUCCAAGCUAUGAUGAUGUGUGUUCUCAACUUCAGAAGGAUCUAGGCUCAGAUGGUCUCUUUGGUGGAAAAUGGGAACUGUCUAUGGCAAACAAAGAUGAGAAGAUGGAGAGUGCUUCAAUCAACAAAGCACACUUCAAACCAAGAAGAGGAGGAGACAAGUCUGUGACUUGUGGGCACUGCAAGAAUCUAGGCCACUCCAAAACCAAUUGUUGGAUCCUUCAUCCUCACCUCAGACCUGCUUCAACCAACAGAUACAACCAGGCUAGAGCACAUGAAGCAAGAGCUCAUGAGACCACAGUAUCAGGCUCCAUGUGCAUAGGAGAAAAUGGAAGAGCUAUGAUCUCAACCACCCACACUGGUGGAUCCACAUCUCAUGCCAUGUCUCAGCCAUCUCCUGAUGAUGCCUUCAUCCGCAAGUCAGACAUUGAAGCUCUUAUCAAGGCUAUCAAUGCAAACUCUGGUAACAUCAGUGUCAAUGCUUUAAAUUCUAUUCACAGUGCUUCACACACUACUAGACCUUUGAUCAUUGACUCAGGAGCUUCUCAUCAUAUGAUUAGGGAUGCUAGACUGAUUAGUGAUGUUAAACCUGCUCUAGUGAGUGUAGUGAUUGCUAAUGGUGAUAGAAUUCCAAUUGAAUGAGUAGGAAACUUGAAACUGUUUGAUAAGGAGUCUCAAGUUUUUUAUAUGCCUACUUUCACAUCCAACUUAUUAUCUGUGAAAAGAGCAACUAAUGAUCUAAAUUUUGUGUUAUUUUCAGUCCUAAUGAUGUGUGCUUUCAGGAUAUUAAGACCAGUAAGAUGUUGGGAAAGGGUGUGAGCAAGGGAGAGCUUUACUUGCUUGAAGACACCAAGCUUUCAGAUUUAUCUUGUGCUUUCAAUUCUGCUUCUGUUUUAGCUAGUGAUGUUUUAUGGUAUGCUAGAUUAGGUCAUCCUCAUUCCCGUGCCUUAGGAUUGAUGUUACCUAAUCUAUCUUUAAAGAAUGAAAGUUGUGAGGCUUGUAUUCUUGGUAAACAUCAGAGAUAUGUUUUCUCUAAUUCUAAGACCAUUUAUGAAAAUUGCUUUGAUCUUGUGCACUCUGAUGUUUGGACAGCACCUUGUGUGUCUAGGGAGAACCAUAAAUAUUUUGUUACAUAGAUGAAAGAUCAAAAUAUACAUGGCUCACCUUGAUUCAAACUAAAUAUAGAGUUUUAGAAGUUUUUAUUAACUUCCAAAACUAUGUAUCUAACCAUUUCAAUUCCAAGAUCAAAAUUUUUAGGUCUGAUAAUGGUGGGGAAUACACAAGCACUGCUUUCAAACAUCACUUAGCAAAACAUGGCAUAAUCCAUCAAACAAGCUGCUCAUACACACCACAACAGAAUGGAGUUGCUGAAAAGAAGAAUCACCAUCUUAUGGAGGUUGGAAGGAGCAUGAUGUUCCAUAUCAAUGUUCCAAAGAGGUUCUGGGGAGAUGCUGUGGUCUCAGCAUGUUAUUUGAUCAACAGGAUCCCCACCAAAGUCCUCCAAGAUAUCUCUCUCUUUCAGGUAUUAAACAAAAUAAAACCUCCAAUUGAUCACUUGCGUCUUUUUGGGUGUGUGUGCUAUGUCUUGAUACCAGGAGAACAUAGAAACAAGCUUGAAGCCAAGAGUGUCAAAGGCAUGUUCAUAGGAUAUACUCAUGCGCAGAAGGGGUACAAGUGCUACAUACCCGAAUCAAGAAGAGUUAUGGUCUCAAGGGAUGUUAAGUUUGUGGAAUCAAAAGGGUACUAUGAUGAGAAGAGUUGGGAAAGCCUUCAGGGUUUCUCAUAAGGACCUUCAGAUAGGGCAAAUAACUUGAGAAUCAUUCUGGAAAGCCUAGGCAUCAGCCAGCCUCAUACAAGUGCAGUACCGAGCACUUCAUCUUUACCUCCAGUUGUGGAUGAAGCUGCACCAAUUGAAGAAGCAUUCCAUCCUGAUCAUGAGGGGGAAAAUCAACCUAAUUUGCAAGUUAUCCACGAGGAAGCUAUCCGCGACGAAGCUAUCCACGAGGAAGCUAUCCAAGAAGAAGUUGUUCAUGAUCAAAAUGGAAUGCAACAAGAAGUUCAACCAUUAAGGAGGAGUACAAGGGUGAAGAAACCAUCUCAGUGGAUGGACACCAAAGUAUACUUCAACAACAGUGCAGUGUCUCAUCCUAUCCAAGUAACAUGUUCUUUUGCGAGUUAUCCUUAAGAGCAUGUAGUCUUCAUCAGCAACCUGGAUCAAGAGUAUGUACCAAAGACUUAUGAAGAAGCCAUGGAGCAUGAAGAGUGGAGAGAGUCAGUUGAGGAUGAAGUUAGUGCCAUGAUCAAGAAUGAUACUUGGUAUGAAACUGAGCUCUCCAAAGGAAAGAAAGCUGUUACAAGCAGUCUACUCUUCACCAUCAAAAACCUUGCCAAUGGGAAACCCGAAAGAAAGAAGACAAGGCUAGUUGCAAGAGGAUACACCCAAGUCUAUGGAGAAGACUAUUUGGAUACAUUUGCACCAGUAACUAAACUCUACACAAUAAGGAUUCUACUCUCCUUAGCAGUGAACUUGGAAUGAGAUUUAUGGCAAAUGGAUGUCAAAAAAUGUUUUUCUUCAAGGAGAGCUGGAGGAUGAGGCUUACAUGAGGCCACCUCCGGGUAUGGAAGACAUGGUCAAGCCAGGGAAUGUCCUAAGGUUGAAGAGAGCAAUCUAUGGAUUAAAACAGUCACCAAGGGCUUGGUACCACAAACUGAGUACAACUCUCAAUGGAAGAGGGGUUUGUAAAAUCAGAAGCUGAUCAUACACUCUUCACACUCACAAGCAAUCACGGAAUUGUGGUGAUUCUUAUUUAUGUAGAUGAUAUUAUCAUCACAGGAAGUGACAAGGAAGGUAUCAUCUCAACCAAAGUUUUUCUUAAGUCUACUUUUGAUAUUAAAGAUUUGGGUGAGCUAAAGUACUUUCUAGGGAUAGAAAUAUGUCGCUCUAAAGAGGGGCUUUUCUUAUAUCAAAGGAAGUACACACUUGAUCUUUUGAAUGAGGCAGGAAAGCUUGGAGCGAGAGUAGCUAAAACACCACUUGAAGAAGGGUACAAAGUCUUGCAUGAGGGGGAGUUUGAGGAUAAACCAUUUGGAGACUUCAAGCUCUAUAGAAGAAUGGUUGGGAAGCUGAUCUAUCUCACCAUUACCAGACCAGAUAUGAACCAAGUUAGCCAACAUAUGCAAGCACCUAAGGUUCAUCAUUGGAAUAUGGUGGAAAAAGUUAUGAGGUACCUAAGGGAGGCUCUGGGUCAAGGUGUUUGGAUGGGAUGCAACAAGAGCACAAAGAUUGUGGGAUAUUGUGAUGCAGAUUAGGCUGGUGAUAGAGUAGACAUGAGGUCUACUACAGACUAUUGCACCUUCAUUGGAGGCAUUACUUGGAAAAGCAAGAAGCAAAAGUUGGUAUCAUGUUCAAGUGCUGAGGCAGAAUAUAGAGCAAUGAGGAAGCUUACUAUUGAGCUCCUCUGGAUCAGAAAGUUGCUAAGAGACUUGGGCAUAGAGACUACAACACCAAUCACAAUGCACUGUGAUAAUCAGGCGGCCAUCCAUAUUGCUUCAAACUCAGUGUUUCAUGAGAGAGGACAAAGCACAUUGAAGUGGACUGUCACAAAGUGAGACAAGCUGUGGAGCAGAAGAUUAUCUUACAGCAACACUAGAAGUGAAGACCAACUAGCUGAUAUCUUCACCAAAUGAGCAAACACCAAAGUUUGUGAGUCCAUCCAUCCAAGGUUAGGACUCAUAGACCUGUCUAGAUCAUGAUCCCCUUUGCCAUGAACCAUCUACUCUUUUUCCUUACUGUGUUUUUGUCCCAUUGGAUUUUUCACACUAAGGUUUUAAUGAGAGAUGUGUUCAUGGCUUCCAAGCUUGAUCAUACCUUAUGCUCAAGCUUGAGGGGGAGUAUUGAGAAGAAGAAGAAACAUGGAUUCCAUCUGCAGAAACCCAUCCACAGAAAUCCAUCUGCAGAAACCCAUCCAUAGGAAUUCAUCCACAGAAACCCAUCUGCAGAAAUCCAUCCACAUGAACUUAUCCAACACGACUUUGGAGGCAAAAGAAACCAUUUGAAUUUUGAAUUAAAAGAGCUGUUGGAGACUUGUCACAUCAGACUCAAUUGUUAGAUUAUUUUUAUAUAAAAUCUCUCUAUAUGUACUUAGUUGUAGACACAAGAGAAGUUUAAGGUAAUAAGAUUCUCCUUCUUUACUCUCUCUCUCUACUUUAUGAUCAAACUUCUCUCUCUUGUUCUUCACACUGUUAUUCAAUUUUUUACAUGGACGAGCUGCUGUGGAACCCGCGAAGAAGGUUCGGUUUGGUCAAACAAAUGUAUGAUAGCAAAUGAAGUACCAAUUCACCUUAAAAUGCGCCGAACCAGCUCAAGUCUUUUGCUUUUAUUCCAUGAUAACGAC